rnacentral:rRNA from 1 species
AGAGUUUGAUUCUGGCUCAGGAUGAACGCUAGCUACAGGCUUAACACAUGCAAGUCGAGGGGCAGCAGUUGAGAUAGCUUGCUAUUCAGAUGGCGACCGGCGCACGGGUGAGUAACGCGUAUCCAACCUUCCCCUUAGUAGGGGAUAGCCCGGUGAAAAUCGGAUUAAUACCCUAUGUUGUUCGAAGCAGACAUCUAAAUUGAACCAAAGGUUUACCGCUAAGGGAUGGGGAUGCGUCUGAUUAGGUAGUAGGCGGGGUAACGGCCCACCUAGCCGACGAUCAGUAGGGGUUCUGAGAGGAAGGUCCCCCACAUUGGAACUGAGACACGGUCCAAACUCCUACGGGAGGCAGCAGUGAGGAAUAUUGGUCAAUGGACGAGAGUCUGAACCAGCCAAGUAGCGUGCCAGGACGACGGCCCUAUGGGUUGUAAACUGCUUUUGCGGGAGGAUAAAGUGCACUACGUGUAGUGCUUUGCAGGUAUCCCGUGAAUAAGGACCGGCUAAUUCCGUGCCAGCCGCCGC